GACAGUCUCGCUCGCCUCUCUCUCUCCCCUUUCCGACGGCCUCCCUGUUUCCACCCACUGCUCCGGCCGUCCCGGUCCAGCGGCGACGCUGGGGCUCGCCUAGGCAUGCCUCCUCCUGCUCCUCGAGGCGACAACGGCGACCACGCGCUCAACGACCCUGGUCCCCGCCCCCAUCGUCCUCCUCCGUGCUGCCGUGACCCAGCCCACCUCCUCCUCCAUCGUCGUCUCAUAGGUCGACGAGGAGGGCUUGGCUGGUGCGCCCUUAGGCCCGCGCUUCCGCGCCACUUCUUCUCCAGCUCCAACAUGGAGGUCAGCUAGGAGGGAUCAGCCAAUGCGACAUUGCCCCGCUGGCGGCCAAGGGCAUGAUAUGAACGGAAUCUAGGUUCUUCUUGCAGUCAGCGACAGCUAGAGUCGCUUUGAUGAGAAGUUGAGGGCGCAGGUACAAGGCAGCAGUAGUAGCACUUAGCCUCCAUCAGUGGCGGCAGCAGUACAACACCCUCCUAAUGUUGUAGCAAGUCACAGUGGCAGCGGCGGCCCAUGUCCCAGUGUUUGUUGAGCGCAAAGGGCGCGUUCUCCGGUUAGCAUCUUCAUUUGUGCCGCGGUUGUCUCAGUGAACUCGUUCUUCGAAGGUAGAGGAAGCAAUUCCAGAUUUUCCGGUGAUACAAAAAUUCGGUUACGGUUGUCGGCAGCACUUGCAAAGUGAUGAUGAGAGGACCUUUGAAAUUCCUGAACCGUGAUGAGGAUGACGUCCUGGGCAUGGCAGAGCUGAAGAUUCAGAAACUCAUGCUCGAGCUCUGCUUCAUGCUAGGUUUCCCGCCAGAGCAAGCCGAACCCAAUCUGAGCCAUUGAUUUCUUAUCUUUCACUCAUAUCCACCCUCCAUCAGACGCUGAUCCUCUAGAUCCAACGGCUGUUAUUUCCCGGAUUCGCAGCACCUCUUUCCACAUGUAUUGUGCCCGAACCAGCCCGCACCUUCGAGAUAGCUCCUGACGUGACUCACUAUAUAUGCCGCCAGCCAAAUUUGAAUCCAGCAUGUUCGCGGAACACUUCCUGGACAGCAUACACGAGCCAGCCCGCCAAACGCUAGGCAUCCACCUAUUCUCUACACACAGCUAGCGAUUGCAUGUUCCUGCUUUACUUCCAUCUGCAUCUAGCAUGUGGGAUCUACUCUGGGAGGGAGCGGAACUGCAUAGGCAAAAGUGUAGCAGUUCAAAUUUGGAUUCACUACUUCGUUCAUAAUUUUUCCGCCAAAACACCUCUGGAGAUACCACAAUCGUUGAUGUUGCUCAACCGGCAGACAUGCAUCUGCCAUUCAUCACGCACCAUCGGAUGGAAGCUAAUGCCAGUAUUCAUUGGAUUCAUCGUUCCUAUACGCAGUGCAGCGCCUCGGGACGAGAAAUGUCUAGGAGAGAAGAAGAAGGCCAAGGAGAAAAUAGGCCAAGAGGACCAGACCAAGAAGUGUUGGUAAUCGAAGGGCCCUUCCGAUGUCGCUGUGCUAUCUAUUCCGUCGUGAUCACGAUGAGCUACUAAGUCCUAUUGUGGUGGUUCUGGAGAUGGAGUUGACUUGAGGCUGCAAUGCAGAGGAGCAUGACGAGCUGCCGAGGAGCGGAGAGCUGCAGAGGAUCAUUGCGAGGUGCCGUGAAGCCAGCUAGAUUGCUAGGUGAAGGUUUCUACAGUGAACUUGUUUCGAUUAUCAACUAGUUUGGAUUUUCUGUGUUUGCAUUUGCUUGGGUUGGCUUUGAAGUUCUAUGCAUGGUUUGUUUGAGUUAUAUCUAUGUACUUUUAUUAGAAGAUGGUGUUUUAUGCU